rnacentral:rRNA from 1 species
UACAGAGACUGCAAGCGUUAUUCGGAUUCACUGGGCGUAAAGGGUGCGUAGGCGGUUCGUUAAGUCUGUCGUGAAAUCCCUCGGCUCAACUGAGGAACUGCACGGGAAACUGACGGGCUUGAGUUCGGGAGAGGGAAGCGGAAUUCCGGGUGUAGCGGUGAAAUGCGUAGGUAUCCGGAGGAACACCGGUGGCGAAGGCGGCUUCCUGGACCGACACUGACGCUGAGGCGCGAAAGCGUGGGGAGCAAACAGG